rnacentral:rRNA from 1 species
AGUGAACGCUAGCGGUAGGCCUAACACAUGCAAGUCGAACGGCAGCACAGUAAGAGCUUGCUCUUACGGGUGGCGAGUGGCGGACGGGUGAGGAAUACAUCGGAAUCUACUUUUUCGUGGGGGAUAACGUAGGGAAACUUACGCUAGUACCGCAUACGACCUACGGGUGAAAGCAGGGGAUCUUCGGACCUUGCGCGAUUGAAUGAGCCGAUGUCGGAUUAGCUAGUUGGCGGGGUAAAGGCCCACCAAGGCGACGAUCCGUAGCUGGUCUGAGAGGAUGAUCAGCCACACUGGAACUGAGACACGGUCCAGACUCCUACGGGAGGCAGCAGUGGGGAAUAUUGGACAAUGGGCGCAAGCCUGAUCCAGCCAUACCGCGUGGGUGAAGAAGGCCUUCGGGUUGUAAAGCCCUUUUGUUGGGAAAGAAAAGCAGCAGGUUAAUACCCCGCUGUUCUGACGGUACCCAAAGAAUAAGCACCGGCUAACUUCGUG